GACGAACGCUGGCGGCGUGCCUAAUACAUGCAAGUCGAACGCAGUGGGGACGGGUGAGUAACACGUGGGUAACCUCCCAUCAGAGGGGAUAACACUUGGAAACAGGUGCUAAACCGAUACUGAUGGAUGGAACCGCGGUGCAUUAGCAAGUUGGUGAGGUAACGGCUCACAAAGGCCACGAUGCAUAGCGGACCAUAGAGGGUGAGCGGCCACACUGGGACGGAGACACGGCCCAGACUCCUACGGGAGGCCGCAGUAGGGAAGCUUCGGCAAUGGACGAAAGUCUGACCGAGAAACGCCGCGUGAGUGAAGAAGGUUUCCGGAUCGUAAAACUCUGUUGUUAGAGUAGCGGUAUCUAACCAGAAAGCCACGGCUAACUACGUGCCAGCAGCCGCGGUAAUUC
rnacentral:rRNA from 1 species